rnacentral:lncRNA from 1 species
AUGAUCAUAAAUGUGCAAAUUUUUUUAAUGCAAGUUAAACAAAGCAUAUACAGGAUAGAGUUGUACAGUGCUAAGGGAACAUACGGUAUUCUAGGUAUCCUUAUGAUGUUUCAUAUCUACAGCCAGUGCAAACUUAAAAGGCACAAACUCAAUGCUGACACUGUAGUGCUGUAAGUUACAUUCAGGCACUAAAGUGCCAGCCUUUUCUCAAAAUUUAAGCUCUAAAUUGAUGUAGUCUAUAUCCAAUAGAUAGCAGUAGGGUUCUGAGUUAAUCCAUCACUGGAAAGUUUGCUGCUAGAUCAUCUGUUAUCCUUUUCUCAGGUCUGAAAGUAUGCUAUUUCCCCAAACACCUCCCUUAGUCCAAAGACUACCUAUACCUUGCAGGCCUUGACAUAUAGAAUCUUACAGGAUACUAUUCAUACUUUUUUCUAACUUUAGUUAAAUUCCUGCAGAAAGUAUAUCCAGAAUAAAAAAAACCAAAAAACCA